AGGACGAACGCUGGCGGCGUGCCUAACACAUACAAGUCGAGCGGAGUUAACAAGAGGAAGUUUCGGAUGGAAUUUGUACUUAGCGGCGGACGGGUGAGUAACGCGUGAGCGACCAACCUUGCACAGGGGGAUAACGGACCGAAAGGUUCACUAAUACCGCAUGAGACCACGGUGUUGCAUGACACAGAGGUCAAAGGAGCGAUCCGGUGCAAGACGGGCUCGCGUCCGAUUAGGUAGUUGGUGGGGUAAUGGCCCACCAAGCCUAUGAUCGGUAGCCGACCUGAGAGGGUGAUCGGCCACAUUGGAACUGAGAUACGGUCCAAACUCCUACGGGAGGCAGCAGUGGGGAAUAUUGGGCCAAUGGGGGAAACCCUGACCCAGCAACGCCGCGUGAAGGAAGAAGGUUUUCGGAUUGUAAACUUCUGUCCUUGGUGAAGAGAAGAAGACGGUAGCCAAGGAGGAAGCCCCGGCUAACUACGUGCCAGCCGCCGC
rnacentral:rRNA from 1 species